CACUAAGACCUUGUGGAGGGAGCUGCUACCUAAGAAAUUCAGAAGUGAAAGUCUUAGGGCCUUGGGAGCUGGCCCUGGAAAAGAAGCACUCUUGAAUGUGUCACCAGUGAGAGCCAUCUUGGCUGGAAAGGACAGAUGAGAGUCCCGGGCACACGUCUGAGGGUGACUUCCUGUGCGUAUAUCAGUGUGUACCAGCCUAGUCAGAUCCUGACCCAGGCUCAGCUACCUUUAGGGCUCAGGGUCUUCUGGGAAUGUGGAGGUAAUUACAUCCUGUUCACACUGAGUAGGCAGGUAUACUUGGAGUGGAAGCCCCAGGGAUACCCCAAGCCCACUGGCUCAACCUUUCACACAUAUCAUGGUUCCUCUGAGCCCUUGGGGCCUGAGCCUUUUCUGCAUGGACCAACAAAUCAUUCUCACUCUGUGGCCACUGGGCACCUGGGUCCCAGGGAACUGCAGGAUCCUGUUCACGAAAAGAUUGAGACUGUCUGUGGGGAUCAACAGGAGACAGGAAGGUAGAGUAGGGCAGAGGGUGGAAGGUGAGUGCUAAAGAUCCCCCAGACUCUCUCAGAAGUAAGCAUUGUGCCAAGAUCAACCUGGGACGUCCCAACUUUAUUUGGAAAAGUCUCUCAAUCAAGAUCAUACUACGAAAUUCAUUAAAACACAAGAG
rnacentral:lncRNA from 1 species